rnacentral:rRNA from 1 species
CCUACGGGAGGCAGCAGUGAGGAAUAUUGGUCAAUGGACGAGAGUCUGAACCAGCCAAGUAGCGUGAAGGAUGACUGCCCUAUGGGUUGUAAACUUCUUUUAUAAAGGAAUAAAACGAGGCACGUGUGCCUUUUUGCAUGUACUUUAUGAAUAAGGAUCGGCUAACUCCGUGCCAGCAGCCGCGGUAAUACGGAGGAUCCGAGCGUUAUCCGGAUUUAUUUGGUUUAAAGGGAGCGUAGAUGGGUUGUUAAGUCAGUUGUGAAAGUUUGCGGCUCAACCGUAAAACUGCAAUUGAUACUGGCAGUCUUGAGUACAGUUGAGGUAGGCGGAAUUCGUGGUGUAGCGGUGAAAUGCUUAGAUAUCACGAAGAACUCCGAUUGCGAAGGCAGCUUACUAAACUGCCACUGACAUUGAUGCUCGAAAGUGUGGGUAUCAAACAGGAUUAGAUACCCUGGUAGUC